GUCCCCUACAAGCCACUGGUUGAUGAAAUCCUUUCAGUUAUGUUGAAAUUGGUUAAUAAGUGUGUUUUCUUAGUAUAGUUACUGUUAUGGUUGGUGCUCAUAUAGCGAUCCCUUAACAAGUUUAAUUUUAUAUAGACAACAGGUAUUCAUUUUACCUGGGAAUGGUUUUAAUGUUAUCGGGACAGAUAUUACAGAUACAAACCAGGGUUGCAGACAAAGCUGUCAAAGUCCUGGAUGUUCUGCGAGGGGACUUGUGGUGUGCUUCCAGUCAGUCUGAGAAUCUGGAGAGUUGCAGCUGUUGUCACUGGAUGCAGGACUCUGUACUGCCUUCCUCUCUUAGCAGAUAACCGUUAGUGCCUGUGGUUUACCAACCAUAUAACACACCCAUCAAUCUGACAAAAAGACUAUUACCCACUUUAGUAACAUUUCACUGCUGAAUUUUACACACUGAUAUUAAAUCUGUU
rnacentral:lncRNA from 1 species